AUUGAACGCUGGCGGCAUGCUUUACACAUGCAAGUCGAACGGUAACAGGGAGCUUGCUCCGCUGACGAGUGGCGAACGGGUGAGUAAUGCGUCGGAACGUGCCGAGUAGUGGGGGAUAACGCAUCGAAAGGUGUGCUAAUACCGCAUACGAACUGAGGUUGAAAGUGGGGGACCUUCGGGCCUCACGCUAUUCGAGUGGCCGACGUCUGAUUAGCUAGUUGGUGGGGUAAAGGCUCACCAAGGCGGCGAUUAGUAGCGGGUCUGAGAGGAUGAUCCGCCACACUGGGACUGAGACACGGCCCAGACUCCUACGGGAGGCAGCAGUGGGGAAUUUUGGACAAUGGGCGCAAGCCUGAUCCAGCCAUGCCGCGUGUCUGAAGAAGGCCUUCGGGUUGUAAAGGACUUUUGUCCGGGAGCAAAUGCUGGUGGCUAACAUCCACCGGAGCUGAGAGUACCGGAAGAAUAAGCACCGGCUAACUACGUGCCAGCCGCCGCCGUAACAC
rnacentral:rRNA from 1 species